UGAGGAAUAUUGGUCAAUGGGCGCGAGCCUGAACCAGCCAAGUAGCGUGAAGGAUGAAGGUCCUACGGAUUGUAAACUUCUUUUAUAAGGGAAUAAAGUCACCCACGUGUGGGUGUUUGUAUGUACCUUAUGAAUAAGCAUCGGCUAACUCCGUGCCAGCAGCCGCGGUAAUACGGAGGAUGCGAGCGUUAUCCGGAUUUAUUGGGUUUAAAGGGAGCGUAGACGGGUCGUUAAGUCAGCUGUGAAAGUUUGAGGCUCAACCUUAAAAUUGCAGUUGAUACUGGCGUCCUUGAGUACGGUUGAGGCAGGCGGAAUUCGUGGUGUAGCGGUGAAAUGCUUAGAUAUCACGAAGAACUCCGAUUGCGAAGGCAGCCUGCUAAGCUGCAACUGACAUUGAGGCUCGAAAGUGUGGGUAUCAAACAGGAUUAGAUACCCUGGUAGUCCACACGGUAAACGAUGAAUACUCGCUGUUUGCGAUAUACUGCAAGCGGCCAAGCGAAAGCGUUAAGUAUUCCACCUGGGGAGUACGCCGGCAACGGUGAAACUCAAAGGAAUUGACGGGGGCCCGCACAAGCGGAGGAACAUGUGGUUUAAUUCGAUGAUACGCGAGGAACCUUACCCGGGCUUAAAUUGCAGAUGAAUUACGGUGAAAGCCGUAAGCCGCAAGGCAUCUGUGAAGGUGCUGCAUGGUUGUCGUCAGCUCGUGCCGUGAGGUGUCGGCUUAAGUGCCAUAACGAGCGCAACCCUUGUUGUCAGUUACUAACAGGUUCCGCUGAGGACUCUGACAAGACUGCCAUCGUAAGAUGUGAGGAAGGUGGGGAUGACGUCAAAUCAGCACGGCCCUUACGUCCGGGGCUACACACGUGUUACAAUGGGGGGUACAGAGGGCCGCUACCACGCGAGUGGAUGCCAAUCCCCAAAACCUCUCUCAGUUCGGACUGGAGUCUGCAACCCGACUCCACGAAGCUGGAUUCGCUAGUAAUCGCGCAUCAGCCACGGCGCGGUGAAUACGUUCCC
rnacentral:rRNA from 1 species